rnacentral:rRNA from 1 species
UACGUAGGGCGCAAGCGUUGUCCGGAAUUAUUGGGCGUAAAGAGCUCGUAGGCGGCUUGUCGCGUCGUGUGUGAAAUCUCAGGGCUCAACUCUGACAUUGCAUACGAUACGGGCAGGCUUGAGUUGCGGUAGGGGAGACUUGGAAUUCCGUGGUGUAGCGGUGAAAAUGCGCAGAUAUCAGGAGGAACACCGAUGGCGAAGGCAGAUCUCUGGGCCGUAACUGACGCUGAGGAGCGAAAGCAUGGGGAGCGAACAGG